rnacentral:rRNA from 1 species
UACGUAGGGUGCAAGCGUUGUCCGGAAUUAUUGGGCGUAAAGAGCUCGUAGGCGGUUUGUCGCGUCGAAUGUGAAAACCCGGGGCUCAACCCCGGGCCUGCAUUCGAUACGGGCAGACUAGAGUUCGGUAGGGGAGUCUGGAAUUCCUGGUGUAGCGGUGAAAUGCGCAGAUAUCAGGAGGAACACCGGUGGCGAAGGCGGGUCUCUAGUACGGUACUGACGCUGAGACGCGAAAGCGUGGGGAGCGAACAGG